rnacentral:rRNA from 1 species
AUUGAACGCUGGCGGAAUGCUUUACACAUGCAAGUCGAACGGUAGAGGGGGCAACCCCUCGAGAGUGGCGAACGGGUGAGUAAUAUAUCGGAACGUGCCCAGUCGUGGGGGAUAACGUAGCGAAAGUUACGCUAAUACCGCAUACGAUCUAAGGAUGAAAGCGGGGGAUCGCAAGACCUCGCGCGAUUGGGGCGGCCGAUAUCAGAUUAGGUAGUUGGUGGGGUAAAGGCUCACCAAGCCAACGAUCUGUAGCUGGUCUGAGAGGACGACCAGCCACACUGGAACUGCGACACGGUCCAGACUCCUACGGGAGGCAGCAGUGGGGAAUUUUGGACAAUGGACGAAAGUCUGAUACAGCCAUUCCGCGUGCAGGAUGAAGGCCCUCGGGUUGUAAACUGCUUUUGUACAGAACGAAAAGGUCUCUCUUAAUACGGGGGACUCAUGACGGUACCGUAAGAAUAAGCACCGGCUAACUACGUGCCAGCAGCCGCUGUAA